rnacentral:lncRNA from 1 species
GUUUUGGUUUCUCUGUUUCAAUUCCAUAGUUAGAAUUCUCAUGAGCUUCAAAGAAAUUGAGUUCACUGGAGCCUUCAGAAGCUUUCUCAUUGUUUUUACUGAUUGCUGACACCUUCUCUUCAUUCUCAACCUCAGAAAGUGGCUUGUGAGUGUUUGGAUCAAUCCCUUUUUGCCUUAGUUUUUUUUUAAUGGAAGAGUUCCAUAAAUUCUUGAUUUCAUUGUCUGUUCUUCCAGGUAAUCUAGCAGCAAUUUGUGACCACCUAUGGAAAAAGAAGUCAAGGUGUCAGUUUUGUUACAUCAUGAAAAGUACUAUAAGAAUCAAGAAAAUAUGUAUUUACUUGUUCCCUAGAACUGCAUGAAGUUCAAUU